UGCCAGCCGCCGCGGUAAUACGGGGGGUGCAAGUGUUGUUCGGAAUCACUGGGCAUAAAGCGCACGUAGGCGGUUAAGUAAGUGUGAAGUGAAAGCCCACGGCUCACCCGUGGAACUGCUUUGCAUACUGCUUGACUAGAGGAAGGUAGGGGAGAGCAGAACUCUUGGAGGAGCGGUGAAAUGCGUAGAUAUCAAGAGGAAUACCAGUGGCGAAGGCGGCUCUCUGGUCCUUUUCUGACGCUGAGGUGCGAAAGCUAGGGUAGCGAACGGGAUUAGAUA
rnacentral:rRNA from 1 species